rnacentral:rRNA from 1 species
AUUGAACGCUGGCGGUAUGCCUUACACAUGCAAGUCGAACGGUAACAGGUCUUCGGAUGCUGACGAGUGGCGAACGGGUGAGUAAUACAUCGGAACGUGCCCAGACGUGGGGGAUAACGAGGCGAAAGCUUUGCUAAUACCGCAUACGAUCUAAGGAUGAAAGCAGGGGACCGCAAGGCCUUGUGCGUUUGGAGCGGCCGAUGGCAGAUUAGGUAGUUGGUGGGAUAAAAGCUUACCAAGCCGACGAUCUGUAGCUGGUCUGAGAGGACGACCAGCCACACUGGGACUGAGACACGGCCCAGACUCCUACGGGAGGCAGCAGUGGGGAAUUUUGGACAAUGGGCGAAAGCCUGAUCCAGCAAUGCCGCGUGCAGGAUGAAGGCCUUCGGGUUGUAAACUGCUUUUGUACGGAACGAAAAGGCUCUGGCUAAUACCUGGGGCACAUGACGGUACCGUAAGAAUAAGCACCGGCUAACUACGUG